rnacentral:rRNA from 1 species
UACGUAGGGUGCGAGCGUUAUUCGGAAUUACUGGGCGUAAAGCGUGCGCAGGCGGUGAUGUAAGUCAGGUGUGAAAUCCCCGAGCUUAACCUGGGAACUGCAUUUGUGACUGCAUUGCUGGAGUGCGGCAGAGGGGGAUGGAAUUCCGCGUGUAGCAGUGAAAUGCGUAGAUAUGCGGAGGAACACCGAUGGCGAAGGCAAUCCCCUGGGCCUGCACUGACGCUCAUGCACGAAAGCGUGGGGAGCAAACAGG